GGAUGUGAGGGCGAUCUGGCUGCGACAUCUGUCACCCCAUUGAUCGCCAGGGUUGAUUCGGCUGAUCUGGAUGGCUAGGCGGGUGUCCCCUUCCUCCCUCACCGCUCCAUGUGCACCCCUCCCGAAGCUGCGUGCUCGGUGGAAGAGGACAACCAUCCGAGAUAGAAGGAGUGUACCGUUCUUUGGUCAAGGGUAUACGAUAGCUGUGCUCCCCUGCUAGAACCUCCAAACAAGCUCAAGUUAUAUAAGAAGAAGACCAUGGCGAUGCUUCCCCUCCCCGAGGUAUAACCUUUGCUUUGCUCAAUCAAUUAGCAGAAGGU